UGUUCAGUGAUAUUUAGAAAUGAAAAACUGAUGUUGUGUUAAUAUUACACACGAUAAUAUUGUGUAAAUAAUCCAGCACCUUGAUUGUUUUCCUGUGUUAUCGUAGCAGGUGGAUAAUUCACUUUAACACUGGUUACCAUGUGCCACAAACUGGAAAAACUACGAUGAGGCAGCAGCAGUAACUAGCUAGCAAGCUACUGCUAGCUACAGCUGUUACUGUUAUGUUGUUACUGCUGCUUUAUCUUCGCAGGUGGCAGUAUUUCACUUUAACGCUGGUUAACACCCACCAUUAAACGAAGGUUAGCCUUAUCUAGCUAGCUGUUACCGCAGCGUUUGGCUACUGCCGAGCAAAAUCAUGUCGAUGAGAUGACGCAUGACGAGGGCGAAACACUGGAAACUGAUAUCAGUCCUGCUGCUAUAUCACAGUGUUGAUCUGACAUCGUGACGCUCCACACCACAAGAGAGUGUUACAUCUCUCUCUCUCUUCUGUUCUUGGUGUCAUUUGAAGCUCCACAGACGAAACGGUACAGCAGGCAGAACUUCACCACCAACCAGGAGCUGAUGUGGAAAAACAAACCAAGUCUGUUGUAUCAUUUUUCUCAGGUCCGAUGGGUGAAACGUCAUCAACCAGACAACAGUUUAAAGCCCCCGCAGCCCCUUUAAAGGCCCCAGUCAACAAGUGUCAGUUCGGGGUCAGCCGGCAGGCCGAGCUGCCUGCGUCCUCCUGUUGCAGGCAGAAUAUUCUGGAGAGACUGGGAUUGAUCGGUGAUUAAAAGAGUGGACCGGAAGGAUUAUUUCAAGCUUAACUAAUAGUUAAAGCGGCUGAAGAUGGGGAGGAGGGGGGCAGAUAAUGUUUGCUGUGUUGGGGCUUAGUCAUUCAGAGGAUGUGAAGCAAGUGAACUCAGCAACUUUACUGUUGGGAUGAAAGCCAUCGAGCUCCGAGUCGACACCGAGUGCAACGCUGGAAUCUCCAGGAAUUCAGAGUCAGUGAAGAGUCAAGGAAGAGUUCAGAUACGUUAGAAGUAUUAUACACGUUUUAAAUAAUGUAACCAAAGUACCCAUAAUGCUGAAAAAUACCCCUGUAAGAGUUUAAUAAUUAGAUUUUGUGUUAUUGUAUCAUUAUUAUUAUGGAUACAAGUGAAUACAUUUACCCAGGUUCUGGGUAAUUACAGGUAAUUUUGAGCUUCUUGUACUUUAUGACAUUUAAAUCUUGUACUUUUUACUCAAAAUAUUAAUUUGACAUCUUUAGUUACAGUUAAUUUGCAGAGUGAAUCCUGCAUCAGAGCUAUGGAGGCCCAGUUAAAAUGUAAUGGUUUGUUCUGAAACAAAUAUGAUGCUUCUCUAUAUUUUGUGUGUGAAAUCUUAGUGUGCAAAGUUACUAGUAACUACGUUUGUCAGAUAAGUGUAGCGGAAUAGAAAGUACAGUAUUUCUGUUCUGUGCUGUAGUGGAGUAAAAGUGUGAAGCAGCAUAAAGUAGAAACACUCAAAUAAAGAACCACUGCAUUUAUUAAAACAAGUUUGAAACUGUUUGUGGCUCCAGAGGAAGCUGCACGUAGUCUGAUAAAUGGCCUUUUUAGAUGACGUUGCAUUGUGGGUAAUGUAGGCAGCAGGUUGUGAACAGCAAGAAGAAUGUGUAGAGUCGAGUCAUAUGUAAAGUGCCAGAGUAACUGUAAUCAGUUAGAUACAGCCAGAGAGCCGUUGCUGCAACAAUCUGCUGCCGGGUGAGUUGUUAAAGAUGUAAUCAUAUCAGCGAGUCACCUUUGUUAUCAUUCCUAAAGAGCGGCACGUUAUCUCAUUGUAUCUGACAGCAAUCAAGAAAUAAAGGUUGGUGUAUUCUACCUGGAGAGGAAGGAAGACAUUUGCAGCAUUUGUUAUUGUGCUGAUAGGAGACAAACUGUGGACAGAAUGCAACACAUGCACAUGCAACCUUUGAAAAAGUCAGAUAUCACUGGGAUGUGUGUAAGAAGAACAAUACAAUGAACAGUACGAUCAGUCGCAGCCGAGCUGUAUUGUUUUAUAACAUCUGUAAAAGGAAUCAGAGUUGUUUCAUCUUCCAGGGGGAGGACUUUAAUUGGACCUUGAAAGCAGCCGCUGGUGUUUCGCUGGCAUCUGCAGCUCUUACAUAGUGAAGA